ACUUUGCCCAGUACCUGAGCCAAACCUAAAUCAAAGCUUUUUUGAUAUUCAAAACAAUGCAACUAUUUUUUUCUUUUUAGCCUUUUUGCAUUUCCAGGGUCUGCCUAGGAAGCAGAGCUGAAUGUGUCAGGAUUGAUGCUAUUCUAACGCAUUUGGGGUUGGCAAUACCAGAGACAAAAAGCUAAUGGGGAGGAUGGGAAGCAAUUUGUCCAAGAUACCCAAAGGUUUAACAAAGUGAAGAUUUGGAGGUGACUGAAGCACAGGCUACAAGUACCUACAUGAUGAACAACUAUUUGAUAGUGGACUCUUCAAUCAAGCAGAGAAAGAAUGUUUUGGGGCUAAGCCCCUCCCCCAAAAAUCCUCCAGCAGAGGGGUAAGACAGAAGGGACAAUUAGCCUGUGGGCCAGAGCCCACCUCAAUGGAUAGAAGAGACAGCCUUCUUCCCCCACAGAGAGUCCUGUGGCUGUGUUGGGGUGCGUGAAAGGUCCACAAGGAGGCACUGCUCCAGCCAUGUAUGCUGUUCAUUCAGGAAUCUUUUAAAAUAUGAGAGUUUAUGACCAUUUCCAGAGCAAACAGACUUAGUAGAAGAUCAUGAGAAACAGUACAUUUAAGGCUGUUGCUAUCUGACAAUGUAAGAGGAAUUCUGGCUUCAAGGAUGCUGUGAGGCAAUUGUUCCCAUCCUGGAUUUAUUUUACCUUAUAGGAAAUACAUUGGGAAGGGCCAUUAUGAACAGAUCCUACUCCUUUAAGAAGAUAUUGAGUCUGUGGGAGUUUGCAUUUUCACUGUUUGGGGAAGUAAUGGACCUGAUCCAAUGGAAGCUGAUGUAAAAGGGUAUCGCUCCACUGAAGUAAGUGGAUGUGUACCCAUUCACACCAGAACAAGAUCUAUUCCAUUGUACCAGCAAUGUCCCACACAGACUUACCAGAAAGAUAAUAAGACAGUGAGAAGGAUUAGGGGCAUGAUGCUCAGGAUGAGCACCAAUGGGGCUACAAGGUUACCUGGUGAAAAUGGACUACAGACAAAGGGAUUUGGCCAGGAAGAAGUUGCUAGAGACCUUGAUGAGUGACGUUUUCAAGGAAUGCAGCUUCAACAGAGUGAAAGCUUGUAACCUUUCUUGUCUGGAAAUCCAAUGUUCUUCUUUAUUAUUGCUACCUAUGAAAAUCUGGAGCCUUUCACUGCUUCUGUAUUAAAACCAAUAAUGAGUCAGUUUUAGGGUUGGAUUGCAUAACUAAUAUCUAGUGACUUGCCAAGACAGAAAUCAAAACCAGAUAAUUGCAAAUAAAAACUAA